ensembl:lncRNA
GGGCGCCCAGGCCGUACCGGGGGAGCCGGAGACGAGCGAGACCCCCGACCAGCCCCAGCACGACGUCAUCGUCAUAGAAACGGACUCGGAGGGCGAGGAGGAGGAGGAAGAAGAGGAGGAGGAGGAGGAGGAGGAAGAGGACCAGGACUAUGACGAAGAAGAGGAAGAUGAUGAGGAGGAGGAGGAGGACGAGGAAGAGGAGGAAGAUGGCGGUAUGGGGGAGGAGGGCGAGGACAGCAACGAAGGCAGCGGAGACGCCAACGACGGCUAUGAGGGAGACGACCCCGAGGGAGCAGACGUGACGGACCCCGGCACGGAGACGGAGGAGAGCCUGGGGCCGUCAGAGCAGAGGCCGGCGGACACACCCAGCUGUAAGGUCCAGGAAGCCCUGUCCUAGAGCCCUCACGCACCACCGCACACACACACAGAGAGACAGACACACACCCAGCUAGACACACACACAGACACACACACAAAGAGAGAGACAGACACAGAGACACACACAAACACACAGAGAGACACACACACAGAGAGACAGACACAGAGAGACACACACACAGACACAUAACUCAAAGGCAUUUCCACAGGCAGACGCUAAUGAACUAGAGCGACGCAUAUCCUCCACAUCUAGACCGGACAUUGGAUUUCUCAGACACGCCCUCCACAAGUGUUUCCAGGCAUAACCCGACUCCCCAGAUAGGAUUGACGGCCUCAUAGCCUCUGCAAUGCGGAGGCUGGAGGCGUCCGGCCGUCUCAUUAGCCUCCGACCGCAUGACGGGGACAGCGCUGAUGUGUUGUCUGAGACCUCUCAUAGUCUCACUCACUUUACAAUGCCACCACACAAAGUUUCUCUGCUUGUUUUUAUGCAUUUUUGCUUUUAAUGUCAGGUGUAAUAAACAAUGUAAAUCUUCCAGUGUUGUAUGGUCAAGUUAUUGCCCUGUGCAGAUGUUGUUUAAAUCUCUGAGCCUUUACUGGCCACCGACGCUGAAGGCUCGUUAACACGGCGUUGCAUAAGGAGAUCCCGGUGUCUCUUACCCAACAGUAGAAAGCAGCCCCCUUUUCUCUUCUCUACCCCCGACAGUUGAGAGCAGCACAAUGGAGGUCUUCUCCACAGAGCCCCCCAUCCCGACCGCACGCAUGCCCCAGUCGCCAAGGAGACCGCCGCACCAGCUGCCCUCUCGCCCCAACAUCCAGACGCCCUCCUCCCAGGAGCCCGGGGCCCAGGUGGGACCCCUCAGACCUCCACAGGGGCCCCCCCUCAGACCUCCACAGGGGCCUCUCAGGGGCUCGUUGGUUCAGGGAUAGUCAGACAGUCACCAACGAUUCUGAUAAAGAUUUACGAAA